AAGGAAUAUUGGACAAUGGCGGAGACGCUGAUCCAGCUAUCCCGCGUGCAGGAUGAAGGACCUCUGGUUUGUAAACUGCUUUAGACUGGGGCGAAAAAGUGGGAUUUAUCCUACAUUGACGGUACCAGUAAAAUAAGCACCGGCUAACUCCGUGCCAGCAGCCGCGGUAAUACGGAGGGUGCAAGCGUUAUCCGGAAUCACUGGGUAUAAAGGGUGCGUAGGCGGCUUGUUAAGUCAGGAGUGAAAGGCCACGGCUUAACCGUGGGAUUGCUUUUGAUACUGGCGAGCUUGGAUUAGGACGAGGUUGGCGGAAUGUGGCAAGUAGCGGUGAAAUGCAUAGAUAUGCCAUAGAAUACCGAUUGCGAAGGCAGCUGACUAGACCUAUAUUGACGCUGAGGCACGAAAGCGUGGGGAGCGAAC
rnacentral:rRNA from 1 species